UAUCAGUCAGUCACUUUGCUACUGCUGA
rnacentral:piRNA from 1 species